rnacentral:sRNA from 1 species
CAUUGAUACUGAUUUAAGUUCAAAAAGGCGGAAGAGGAACAAGAAGAAGGCUAAUAAGAAGCCACGGUUGGAAUCUCCGACUGCACUUCCUAUGAACCAAGCACCUCCUUGCACUUCAGUUCCUUGAACCAGGUUCUGAUGCAGAAAAAACCGUGGAUCUGUGUUAAAAUUCACCGAUGUUGUUAAAAUUUUAUUCAUGUGACCUCUCUGUUUUAUUAGGCCCUUUUGGUACUUGUUUUGCCUUCAAACUUUUGUUGAAAAAGCACAGGUUUACUCUCCUGGGGCUGUUUAACAAUCUUCUCCCGCUUACCUGUCUUGACUAGAAGGUAAUUUUAAUAAUUUUCGUAGGACCGUCUAAAAUAUAUUUUGUAUUCUGAAAUUUAUGCUUUUGAUAAUUUUGCGUCAAGAUUUCUUCAUUUAUGAUAUUAUAAUGGUUUUUAUAUUUAUU